rnacentral:rRNA from 1 species
UACGUAGGGGGCUAGCGUUGUCCGGAAUCAUUGGGCGUAAAGAGCGUGUAGGCGGCCCGGUAAGUCCGCUGUGAAAGUCGGGGGCUCAACCCUCGAAUGCCGGUGGAUACUGUCGGGCUAGAGUGCGGAAGAGGCGAGUGGAAUUCCUGGUGUAGCGGUGAAAUGCGCAGAUAUCAGGAGGAACACCGAUUGCGAAGGCAGCUCCGCUGGGACGUAACUGACGCUGAGACGCGAAAGCGUGGGGAGCAAACAGG